GAUUUUUUAUUUGGGGGAAAAUGCUCCGGAUAAGCUGCUGCAUUCAACUUUGCUAAGUUGGAAAAUCUCAAAGUCCAGGGUGUUCAAUUUCCCAGAAAGAUUAUGAAGUUAAUUUGAUAUUUGACUCUUGCAAGGAGAAAAAAAGAGAUGCAAAAGCGAUUGUCAUUAUUGCUGGAUGAUAAUCCUGCGAUCAUAGAAAGACGUGAUACUCUUGAAAGAGGCUCG